CGGAACACAUUUCAAUGGUUUGUUUUUUUCCCCCCAUUUUUCGUAACUUUUUCAGUUGUCCAGGCACCAUAAAUCGCUCAAACAUGGCAAGCAAAGUAAAACAAAUUGAAAGGGGACCAGGGCCCAAGGACUACAAAAAAUGCAGCAAGCUAAACAAAAAGCGGGAGAGAGAUGGAAAUGAAAAGCUCACAAAAUGGAGUCGUAAAGCAAAUGGAGCGGACACACACAUACACAGACGCUCGGUUUCCGGUAGCCCUGCAUGCAUAUGCAACCAUAUUUAUGAUGCACCCGCCACGCCCACUUAAAUGGGCGGACACGGGAAUCGAAAGAUUUCAUCGUACAAGAUUUAAGUUUUCCAAGCAAAUGUGUAACUUUGAAAAUAAACUUUAACUUCGAUUUGGAUUUAAACGACAAACAUCGCUAUUUGGAUGUUCCCUGCUUAAAGGUUUAAAAAAAGGAUUAUGAAGAACCCUCAAGAGCAAAGAUUCGCUUCCAUAAGACUGUUGAUAUAUCCAAAAUCAAAGCAUCCCAAAUAUAUUAUAAAUUUAUAA